UACGAAGGGUGCGAGCGUUGUUCGGAAUUAUUGGGCGUAAAGGGUUCGUAGGCGGGAAUGUAAGUUGAGUGUGAAAACCCCGGGCUUAACCUGGGACGUGCACUCAAAACUGCGUUUCUUGAGUGUUGGAGAGGGUGGUGGAAUUGCUGGUGUAGGAGUGACAUCCGUAGAGAUCAGCAGGAACGCCAGAGGCGAAAGCGACCACCUGGCCAAACACUGACGCUGAGGAACGAAAGCGUGGGGAGCAAACAGG
rnacentral:rRNA from 1 species